ensembl:lncRNA
GGUGAACAUUUGCGGAGCAUUGGUUCUGGGAGACAUGGUGCUGUGUGGGCAAACUUUGCCCUAAUGAAUCUGGACGUGCCAAGCAGAGCCCAGCACCAACCCUGCCUUGUGUGUGUCAUUAACCAUCCCACUUGGACUUGGUGCUGGGAGAAGCCAGACGACAACAGGAGGAACUUCAGAGGAAUUCUUCUCGAGGCUGCCAGGUUCUCAGACAAGAGAAAGGCUGCCUCUUUCAGAAACAGUCAGUGGCCUGGAGAAGCCUGCAAUUAGAGACGAAGUAUUCUAUCGCCGAAGAAGAAGGGAGAAAUUGCAGUAAAUAUCCAUUACAUGAUCUACAGUUUCAAAAAUCACCGAGGGAAGCUAAAGACAGAACUAUUUUCAGGUUCUGAAAGCAUCUUCAGAGCCAAAGAACCAGGAAAACAGCACAUAUUUGAAAGAACAAGCAGCAAACAAACCAGCUUACAACACACGUUGCUUUUCUGGCUUGUUUGUAUGUUUCCAGAAAAGAUGCCUCAGUGUCCAGGUGUAAUUUUUGCUCUAAUUACUCAAGAGAUCCUCCAGGAAAGCCAUUGGCCCAGGACACAGCAGGCAAGAGAAAGUCCCAGAAAAAGCCAAGGAAUUCCUGAACCCCUUGGGCACUGCGCCAUCUCUUCAUGUACUGUACAAAAGAUGCAAACCUUAAAUUCCUCCUACUGCAUUAUAGGAAUUAAAUCAAUCCAUUUUUAAUGCAAAUUCAGAAGGAAGGGACCGCUCGCUAUCACUGGGACAACGUAGUGGGGAGAUUUUCACUCCAUGCACAGCAAAGAUGAGACCAGUACAGAAAAAUGGCAUUGGCUCCUCUUCCAUCAAUGCUGUUGGUGAACUCUGAAGGUAGUUUGUCACUUUCUGAAGCAAACUCUUACAUUUACCCGGUGAGUUACUCUCUGGGCCACACAGCCUGGAUGAGUCAGCACUGUAUAGAGGAUAAGAAGACUGUCUGUGGUCUGGGAGAAGACCUCCAGCAUCUCAAAAUGCCUCUACUGCUGCCAUACAGCCUCUAGAGAUGGUGUCCGUGGUCGGAAAAUGGACUGAAUGCAGAUGGGUGCCAAAAAGAAAGACUUUAGGAUUGGAUUAACCGCAUUCUAGGGAGAGCCUGGAAUAGAUACCUUCACUAUCAAGAAGUACUGAAGAGAAGCCACUUUUCAGCAGAGAAAUAAAAGAAACUCGAAGGAGAAUGAGGCAGAAAUUUUAAUGAGUUGCUGUGCACAGACAAUUUAGAAAUCUUGGCAGAAUGUGGUAAAGGCAAUGAAAAGCCACAGAAGUGGAAAUGAAUAUAAUGCAGUACAUCUCCCAGAAAGAAGGAAUGUUUAUGAGGAGGAAUAAGAAAAUCACAUUCUUUGGGGCAGCUGGGCAGACACAUUAAUGGAGACACAAUAUGUUAUGUAUGCCAUAUGAUCAUGAAUAUCACCAUCUGACAGCGCAGGGAGGUGAGCAUCCUUCCUCCUCCACACAGAGCAGGGGAAGAUGUACCACAUAGCUCUGAACAAGUUUUGCUUCCUUUAGGCUCCGCUAAUUGCAACCCC